GGGCGGGGGCUCCGGGUGGACACUUCAAACUCUUGCGUAACUUUGCAGUCUGAGUAAACUUAAUUAAUAAAUUAAAACUUUUAACAACGGAUCUCUUGGUUCUGGCAUCGAUGAAGAACGCAGCGAAAUGCGAUAAGUAAUGUGAAUUGCAGAAUUCAGUGAAUCAUCGAAUCUUUGAACGCACAUUGCGCCCCCUGGUAUUCCGGGGGGCAUGCCUGUUCGAGCGUCAUUUCACCACUCAAGCCUCGCUUGGUAUUGGGCAACGCGGUCCGCCGCGUGCCUCAAAUCGACCGGCUGGGUCUUCUGUCCCCUAAGCGUUGUGGAAACUAUUCGCUAAAGGGUGUUCGGGAGGCUACGCCGUAAAACAACCCCAUUUCUAAGGUUGACCUCGGAUCAGGUAGGGAUACCCGCUGAACUUAAGCAUAUCAAUA
rnacentral:rRNA from 1 species